UGUCAUCAAGCCUAUUUCCGGCCACACCCAUCUAACAGAAUCACGUGUUGGCAAGCACACCGGACAGGUUGAAGCGAAUGCAAUAACGUGAAAUGUAGUUCCUGGAGUGUGAAUUUUACCAGAAUCGAUGCUGAAACACAGACGCGUCCAGUGACCUGUGCUUCUCCGUGUGUCCUGCGUUCAGUUUGCAGUCCGUCGAUGCAGACACCAUGAAAUAAUCCAUAGCAUCUGGAGCUCCUCUCUUUCUCCCCUGAUGAGCAGCGAAUCGAUGUUCCCGCCGGCAGGCCUGAGACACAGAGAGGGGCGAGAGACACGCUGCCUCUGUAAUUCAUGGCCCAUUGUAUUUGCCCGAGCAGCUCCCUGAAUGCUUUUGUGCUGGCUGAGCGGGAAUCCUUCCAGAGCAUUAAGUCAAUGUUUGAGCUCUGAACCAAGAUUGAAGGCUCAAUAUUAUGGGAGAGAUUCAUGAUUUGCUGGCCAUGCGUCAGGUGAAAUUACAAGCUUGUUAGAGACCCAUAAUUCUCCACCGGAUCCUGAUCAGAUCAAACACAACCUCCAUCAGAUUCAACUUUACUUGCACUCAUGGGAUACCAAAAGCUGAUGAUUCGAACAAUGUUCAAGCACAAAAAUGUUUCUGUGUAGCAAUGACCGAUUAGUAAACGGCGUAAUCCAAUUGCUCCAUAGGCAAAUGUGGUGUUGUGGUCAUAAAAAAUACAUUUAAAGGAACAGUUCAUCCCUAAAAAAUAUAUUUUUUUUUUGUCCUCAUUUACUCUUCUUCAUGGUUUUUCAAACCUGUACGAGUUUCUUUUUUUCUGUUGAACACAAAGAAGAUAUUUUGAAGGAUGUGUGGAACCAGACAGCUGACGGUACCCAUUGACUUCUAUAGUAUUUUUUUCCCAUACAAUGGAAGUCAAUGGGUGCCGUCAGCUUUUUGAUUUAAUUUUGGAUGAAUGAUCCCUUUAAAUCAAUUUCAUUGCGUUUUUAGUGAAAUUUUAAUGCACAAAUUAUUUUAAAGAAUGCAAACGUUGUAGUUGUCUUAUUUUGGAUGUUGUUGUUUUUAUUAAAAAUGUUAAAGCACAAAAAUGUUUCCAUGUCAUAUAUAUUAAAUCGUAUUUGCAUAUAUUCAAAUUUGUCACAUUUGGACACUAAUUUUGCUGUACAAAUUACUUUUAGAAUUUUAUACAUUUUACAAACAUUGCAGUUUAUGUCACAUGACACUUGCAUUUAUUCAGAUUUGUUGCACAGACAGUUUUUGUGCAUUCUUUUUCGUUAGAUUUUUAAAUAACGUUUACAAAUGUUUCAAAAAAUGGUUGCGUUUUCUUUUUUCCCCCGAAGCAUUUCCAUUUAGUUUUUGUACAC